UCUAGAUCUGGUGAACCGACACCUCCUGAGACGCCAUCCUCCCUCAUCUUGAUCAGCCGGUGAUGCCGCUUCUGUUCUUGUCCCUCUUCUCUCAUCGCCAGUGCUACGACUUCUCUUCUCACCAUUAGAGGAUCAUUGUCAUCGAUUAGGCGGUUCGAAUUUCAGUGGGAUCUUGGUUGUGGAAUGAAGUCUGAAGACUUUGUUGUAAUUUCUGAUGUCAACUUCACGUAACAUUGUUGAUGGGGAACCAAGUGAAAAGCAAAAAGGAACACCAAAUAAAAGAUGGACAAAAGAAAUGGCAAUGUGUUAAUACCAUUGCUUGCAGACAUGGCAAAGAGUGGUUUGAAGGUGGAUAAGUCAUUCAAAUGUCAAGCAUUUAUUGAAGCUGCAAAUGUUGUCAAUAAUAGAUCCCCCAAUGCUUGCAUGGACGCAAAUAAUAUGGAGAACCACAUGCGCACCUUGAAGCAAAAAUACCAAGACAUAAAAAAAAUUUAAUGAAUCUUAGUGGUGUUGGGUGGAAUGACUUGGAAAAAAUGCUAGUGCUUAAGGAUGAGACGUACCGUACAUAUGUGGAGGGACAUCCAAAAGCCAAAGAGUACUUGAACAAGCCCAUACCUUUAUUUGAGGAGUUACAUUUGGUUGCUGGAGAUGACCAUACCACUGGUGAUUACGCACGAUCAAUCUAUGACCAAUUUGGUGGUACAAUCCAUGAAGAUGACCAUGAUACAAUCCCUGAUAAUGUUCUUGCACCUAAUGAGCUAAUGGACUAUGAAGCUUUUGA